GACUAUUGGAAGAAAAGAAUCUUUAAAUUAUCUGAAUGGAAAAUGGAGUUUUCAAGGAGUCAAUUUUGACCAUUGAAGCCUGAAAUACAGACAGUAACAUGAACAUGGUAUACAUUUCUUCCAUGGAUUUUCUAUCCAACCAAGAACUUCUGCAAUUUCCUAAUUCCAUCAAGAUAUGGGGGUGUCCGAAUCUAUGAAGAUAUUACAGGCUGGAUGGAAGCUGAUGAACACAGCAAUCAAGAAACGCCAUGAAAUGUGGCUCAAAUACUGUUGAGAGUCAUUGUGAAUUCUAUUAUAGCAAGAGAUUGCAUUGGACCAAAGUUGUAAAAUUUAUUUUGUUGUAUUCUAUCCUCCAGAGUUUCAGAAAAUGAAAAAAAAAAUCAGCUCCUAGUCAGUUUGACAAAGCUACAAGCAUAUGCUCAGAGAAAACCUGCCUCAGUUUGAGAUCAACACGGACUGGAGAUUGGUAUUGAGUCCUCAGCUGGUGUCUCUGUUCGGUGGGAAUCCCUGUCAGACCAUGCCAUGGAAUAUUGGAAUACCAGUAUCUGCAUCUCUGAACUACUUAACAUUAGAAAUAUAUAACAGAGCAAAUUAUUCCAACAUGCAAAGGAGUAUUUGGUAUUCAAUUUACAUAAUGCAUGAACUAGUAAAUGACCUUCAUCAAUAAAGCAGGAGCUUGAAAUGAUGUCUUACUGAACCAGUCAGGCAAUAAUUCUUGUUAACAUUUCUUGACUGCCCACAUGACAGUUCUGUGUCACUUGAGCAAUAUGAUAGUCUUUGAGGCUUCUGAAAUUUCAGAAUGUUUUUACUUUCAUGUUUAAAUCUGGAUGAGCCAUUUCAAAUAUUGAUAUUUUUGAUAACUGCUGUGUAUUUGGCUUUGUUCUUUCAUAUUUUUGGGGUAAGAUACUUAUCCCAGUCAGAAAUCAGAUGCUGUUCUCAAUAAUCCCUGUCUUUAUUGCAAACCUUUGAGAGGCAAACCACUGGAGAAAGGAAGCCAUGGAAAAUUAUUGAUGUGAAGACAUUUCGUGAGCUCUUAACAAGCUCAUUUCAAAUUCCUUAGUGCUAUUUAAUAGAGGUGUUAAUCUGUGUAGAAAAUUGUUACAAUGUCUCUUAAAAGAAUAUUUAAAGAAGAAUUAAUGAAAGGAAUUUAAUGAUGUUACUACCUGGGUGGUGGUGAUAGAUUUUCAUUCAGGGGUCAGAGAUGCAAACACUGAAGAUUCCAGUUCUUCUGUGGGACGAACCAACUGUUACAUAAUGGCCUUUCAAAUACUAGGCCCAGAUUUCAACACAACCAAGACCUUAUGGAAUGACAGGAUGCUCAUUGCACCAUCCUGUCCUGAACAGACGCAAUCAUGUCUACACCACCACCAUCACCUUCCCCCAACCCCAACCUCCCCCACAGCUCCAUGAAGAUUUAGCAGUGUUCCAGUUAAUCACUCCCUCUGCAUAAUCCUCCCUAGUCCAUGUGCAGCAGCAACGUCCAGAACUGGAAGUCAGUACUGCAAAGAUUAUAGAUGUUUCCUCUAAGUAGCUUACAACCACGCAGCUUCGAGGGAACACAGGAGAUUAGUUGAUUACAUCUGAACUGCACUCAUUAAAUUCAUGGAUGAACAUAAAA